rnacentral:rRNA from 1 species
AGCGAACGCUGGCGGCGUGCCUAACACAUGCAAGUCGAGCGGAGAAAGGGGUGGCAACACCCUGAGUAAAGCGGCGAACGGGUGAGUAACGCGUGGGCAAUCUACCUUCCGAGUCUGGGACUAACCUUCCGAAAGGAGGGCUAAUACCGGAUGAUGUCCUGUUGGGGCAUCCUGAGGGGAGCAAAGGGGGCGACCCGCAAGGGGCUCUCGCUGGAGGAGGAGCCUGCGUCCGAUUAGCUAGUUGGUGGGGUAACGGCUCACCAAGGCGACGAUCGGUAGCCGG